GGAGAGAUGGCCGAGUGGUUGAUAGCUCCGGUCUUGAAAACCGGUAUAGUUCGCAAAGAACUAUUGAGGGUUUGAAUCCCUCUCUCCUUU
rfam:Ricinus communis ctg_1100012362031, whole genome shotgun sequence.